rnacentral:rRNA from 1 species
UGCCAGACAGGGAAACUGCGUACGGCUCAUUACACCAGCCUUAAUUUACUUGACCUUGACAACCUACUUGGAUAACUGUGGUAAUUCUAGAGCUAAUACAUGCACCAAAGCUCCGAUCCCUUGCUGGAGAGGAGCGCAUUUGUUCGCCACAAAACCAAGCGCCCUCACGGGCGUUCAGUGUUGACUCAGAAUAACUAAGCUGAUCGCACGGUCUUGCACCGGCGACGUGUCUUUCAAGUGUCUGCCUUAUCAACUUUCGAUGGUAGUGUACCUGACUACCAUGGUGAUGACGGGUAACGGAGGAUAAGGGUUCGACUCCGGAGAAGGGGCCUGAGAAAUGGCCACUACGUCUAAGGAUGGCAGCAGGCGCGCAAAUUACCCACUCUCAAUUCGAGGAGGUAGUGACGAGAAAUAACGAGACCGUUCUCACAAGAGGCCGGUCAUCGGAAUGGGUACAAUCUAAACCCUUUAACGAGUAUCUAUGAGAGGGCAAGUCUGGUGCCAGCAGCCGCGGUAAUUCCAGCUCUCAAAAUGCAUAGAAUUAUUGCUGCGGUUAAAAAGCUCGUAGUUGGAUCUGUGCUGGCCGCCCGGUCUACCCACUGGGUACGUACUGGUGUGGUCGGCUUUCUGUCCGGUUUCUCCCGGCGUUGGCCUUCACCGGUCGGCGACGGUGGCUGGACAAGUUUACUUUGAACAAAUCAGAGUGCUUCAAACAGGCGUUUCGCUUGAAUGUUCGUGCAUGGAAUAAUAGAAGAGGAUUUCGGUCCGAUUUUAUUGGUUUUGCUGACCGAGAUAAUGGUUAACAGAGACAAACGGGGCCAUUCGUAUUGCUACGUGAGAGGUGAAAUUCUUGGACCGUAGCAAGACGGA